rnacentral:rRNA from 1 species
UACGGAGGGUGCAAGCGUUAUUCGGAAUCAUUGGGUGUAAAGCGCGUGUAGGCGGCUUGGUAAGUCAGACGUGAAAGCUCCGGGCUUAACCCGGAAAGUGCGUUUGAAACUGCCAGGCUUGAGUCCGGGAGGGGAAGGUGGAAUUCCCAGUGUAGAGGUGAAAUUCGUAGAGAUUGGGAGGAACAUCGGUGGCGAAGGCGACCUUCUGGACCGAGACUGACGCUGAGACGCGAAAGCGUGGGGAGCAAACAGG